rnacentral:rRNA from 1 species
AACCGGAUUAGAUACCCUGGUAGUCCAUGCCGUAAACGUUGGGCACUAGGUGUGGGGACCAUUCCACGGUUUCCGCGCCGCAGCUAACGCAUUAAGUGCCCCGCCUGGGGAGUACGGCCGCAAGGCUAAAACUCAAAGGAAUUGACGGGGGCCCGCACAAGCGGCGGAGCAUGCGGAUUAAUUCGAUGCAACGCGAAGAACCUUACCAAGGCUUGACAUGUUCUCGAUCGCCGUAGAGAUACGGUUUCCCCUUUGGGGCGGGUUCACAGGUGGUGCAUGGUUGUCGUCAGCUCGUGUCGUGAGAUGUUGGGUUAAGUCCCGCAACGAGCGCAACCCUCGUUCCAUGUUGCCAGCACGUAAUGGUGGGGACUCAUGGGAGACUGCCGGGGUCAACUCGGAGGAAGGUGAGGACGACGUCAAAUCAUCAUGCCCCUUAUGUCUUGGGCUUCACGCAUGCUACAAUGGCCGGUACAAUGGGUUGCGAUACUGUGAGGUGGAGCUAAUCCCAAAAAGCCGGUCUCAGUUCGGAUUGGGGUCUGCAACUCGACCCCAUGAAGUCGGAGUCGCUAGUAAUCGCAGAUCAGCAACGCUGCGGUGAAUACGUUCCCGGGCCUUGUACACACCGCCCGUCAAGUCACGAAAGUCGGUAACACCCGAAGCCGGUGGCCUAACCCUUGUGGGGGGAGCCGUCGAAGGUGGGACCAGCGAUUGGGACUAAGUCGUAACAAGGUAGCC